AAAACCGUGUCUAACCUACCUUUGUUGCUUUGGCAGGCCGCCUUCGGGCGUCGGCUCCGGCUGAUCAGCGCCUGCCAGAGGCCCAAAACUCUGUGUUUAGUGAUGUCUGAGUACUAUUAAAUAUUUAAAACUUUCAACAACGGAUCUCUUGGUUCUGGCAUCGAUGAAGAACGCAGCGAAAUGCGAUAAGUAAUGUGAAUUGCAGAAUUCAGUGAAUCAUCGAAUCUUUGAACGCACAUUGCGCCCCUUGGUAUUCCGAGGGGCAUGCCUGUUCGAGCGUCAUUAUAACCACUCAAGCCUAGCUUGGUAUUGGGGUUCGCGUGCUCGCGGCCCUUAAAAUCAGUGGCGGUGCCGUCUGGCUCUAAGCGUAGUAAUUCUCUCGCUAUAGAGUCCCGGCGGUUACCUGCCAGAACCCCCCAUUUUUUA
rnacentral:misc_RNA from 1 species